rnacentral:rRNA from 1 species
UCGGGAAUUUUGGGCAAUGGGCGAAAGCCUGACCCAGCAACGCCGCGUGAAGGAUGAAGUAUUUCGGUAUGUAAACUUCGAAAGAAUAGGAAGAAUAAAUGACGGUACUAUUUAUAAGGUCCGGCUAACUACGUGCCAGCAGCCGCGGUAAUACGUAGGGACCAAGCGUUGUUCGGAUUUACUGGGCGUAAAGGGCGCGUAGGCGGCAAUUCAAGUCAUCUGUGAAAUCUCCGGGCUUAACUCGGAACGGUCAGAUGAUACUGCUUUGCUAGAGUGCAGAAGAGGCAAUCGGAAUUCUUGGUGUAGCGGUGAAAUGCGUAGAUAUCAAGAGGAACACCUGAGGUGAAGACGGGUUGCUGGGCUGACACUGACGCUGAGGCGCGAAAGCCAGGGGAGCAAACGGGAUUAGAUACCCUUGUAGUCCCUGAGCGGGCUGGCAAGGCGCAU